UCAGUGUGGUUGGUAUGUCUUUCGAUGUCCUUGGUUCCUUGGCGAUAAAAGUUUGUUCUCUGGCACUGAGAUAACUUUUUUUGUGUGUUCUCGUUCUGUUCUAGGGUGCAAGCAACGUGUCAUUGUGGUUAGAAAAAACGAAUUGUGAUUUAACUGUCAAAGCCGGAAUGUUUAAAGCAUACAUCCCGCCCAAGGCAUGCUGGGAUGAUCUCCUAUCAGGCAGCUUGGAAACUUCCAGACGCCGAUAUGCCUUAUGUUCGGUGCAGCCCAGGUUAUGAACUGUCAAGUGGAAUAUGCCCCUUGAGGAAAACGAGUAUAUUCAAGCUCCACGUGAAAUGCCAAGUAUGGUCACUGAAAAAUGAUCGACUGUCCAGCGAGGAGAUUGCGGAAUCAGCAGCUGACAUAUUGACUGAUGAAACAUGAUGGUGCGUGCAGCAAGAGAGGGUUUGACUGCAGAUCCUGACCACCUGCUCCUGUAAAUUUGUACCAACCACAGGCGAAAACAAGGAGAAACGCUUUGAAUACCUGCGGUCUUCUAUCAGCUAGACAAGUCCCUGAAGCUAUAAAUCAUUAAACUUUGAUGUAUUCUGCUUUGGAGGUAUAAA